AGUAACGCGUGGAUAACCUGCCUCACACUGGGGGAUAACAGUUAGAGAUGACUGCUAAUACCGCAUAAGCGCACAGUACCGCAUGGUACAGUGUGAAAAACUCCGGUGGUGUGAGAUGGAUCCGCGUCUGAUUAGCCAGUUGGCGGGGUAACGGCCCACCAAAGCGACGAUCAGUAGCCGACCUGAGAGGGUGACCGGCCACACUGGGACUGAGACACGGCCCAA
rnacentral:rRNA from 1 species